AGGAACCAGAGAAAUCCUGACCGAUACUACCCACUGACCAUCUGCAUAUAGUGUCUGUUAGCACUUGUCAACCAUGUAUCUGCCCAGAAGAAGAAUGCUUUAAGAUAUUCUGCUUUAACUAUGGACACAAGAUU